CCAGAUGGAGUCCGGUGCUGUCCGGCUUCAAAUCCGACGCGAUGUCCG
rnacentral:tRNA from 13 species